rnacentral:rRNA from 1 species
UACGUAGGGUGCAAGCGUUGUCCGGAAUUAUUGGGCGUAAAGCGCACGUAGGCGGCUUGGCAAGUCGGAUGUGAAAGCCCUCGGCUCAACCAAGGAAGUGCAUCCGAAACUGCUGAGCUUGAGUACUUAAGAGGAUCGCGGAAUUCCCGGUGUAGAGGUGAAAUUCGUAGAUAUCGGGAGGAACACCAGUGGCGAAGGCGGCGAUCUGGGAAGAUACUGACGCUGAGGUGCGAAAGCGUGGGGAGCAAACAGG